ensembl:snRNA RNU6-61P RNA, U6 small nuclear 61, pseudogene
GGGCUCACUUUGGCAGCACAUAUACUACAAUUGUGAACGAUACAGAGAAGAUUAGCAUUGGCCCCUGCCCAAGGAUGACACACAAAUUCGUGAAGCGUUCCAUAUUUUG